rnacentral:rRNA from 1 species
GUGAUAAGGUCCGUGUUCGAAAGGGAAACAGCCCAGACCACCAGCUAAGGUCCCAAAAUAUAUGUUAAGUGGAAAAGGAUGUGGCGUUGCCCAGACAACUAGGAUGUUGGCUUAGAAGCAGCCAUCAUUUAAAGAGUGCGUAAUAGCUCACUAGUCGAGUGACACUGCGCCGAAAAUGUACCGGGGCUAAACAUAUUACCGAAGCUGUGGAUUGUCCUUUGGACAAUGGUAGGAGAGCGUUCUAAGGGCGUUGAAGCAUGAUCGUAAGGACAUGUGGAGCGCUUAGAAGUGAGAAUGCCGGUGUGAGUAGCGAAAGACGGGUGAGAAUCCCGUCCACCGAUUGACUAAGGUUUCCAGAGGAAGG